rnacentral:rRNA from 1 species
CCUACGGGAGGCAGCAGUGGGGAAUUUUGGACAAUGGGCGCAAGCCUGAUCCAGCAAUGCCGCGUGUGCGACGAAGGCCUUCGGGUUGUAAAGCACUUUUGGCGAGAACGAAACGAUACGGGUUAAUACCCUGUGUUAAUGACGGUACUCGCAGAAUAAGCACCGGCUAACUACGUGCCAGCAGCCGCGGUAAUACGUAGGGUGCAAGCGUUAAUCGGAAUUACUGGGCGUAAAGCGAGCGCAGGCGGCUCUAUAAGACAGUUGUGAAAUCCCCGGGCUUAACCUGGGAACUGCAAUUGUGACUGUAGAGCUAGAGUGUGUCAGAGGGGGGUAGAAUUCCGCGUGUAGCAGUGAAAUGCGUAGAUAUGCGGAGGAAUACCGAUGGCGAAGGCAGCCCCCUGGGAUAACACUGACGCUCAUGCUCGAAAGCGUGGGGAGCAAACAGGAUUAGAUACCCUGGUAGUCCACGCCCUAAACGAUGUCUAUUAGUUGUUGGGUCUUAACUGACUUAGUAACGCAGCGUACGCGUGAAGUAGACCGCCGCGGGUAAGGUACGGUCCGCGAAGUUAAACGUUAACGUUAAAGGAAGUUAGACGGCGUGAGACGNGCCGACGGACGACGACGAGGGAGGAGG